rnacentral:rRNA from 1 species
CAGCCGCCACGGUAAUACGAAGGGUGCAAGCGUUAAUCGGAAUUACUGGGCGUAAAGCGUGCGUAGGCGGUGAGUUAAGUCUGCUGUGAAAUCCCCGGGCUCAACCUGGGAAUGGCAGUGGAUACUGGCUCGCUAGAGUGUGUCAGAGGAUGGUGGAAUUCCCGGUGUAGCGGUGAAAUGCGUAGAGAUCGGGAGGAACAUUAGUGGCGAAGGCGGCCAUCUGGGACAACACUGACGCUGAGGCACGAAAGCGUGGGGAGCAAACAGGAUUAGAUACCCCAGUAGUCCCUGUCUCUUAUAC